rnacentral:sRNA from 1 species
UGGCUCCUCAAGGGUGGUCGGCUCAUCCCCGAUAGAAAGGGGGUGAGCCAAUGACAGUAUUCGAGGCAUUAACUUUGAUGCUCACGUUCGGUCUGUUGAUCGUAGCUAUACUGUCGUUCCAUAAAAAGAAGUAGAUCACCCUUGAGCCCCAAACUCAGUGAUCUACUUCAUCGAUGAACUAUGAGCCGCCCCUAGUGGGAACGUCUAUUGUAUAAACCGCAGGUGCUGGAACACCU